rnacentral:rRNA from 1 species
UGCAGUCGAACGAUGAACCUGGAGCUUGCUCUGGGGGAUUAGUGGCGAACGGGUGAGUAACACGUGAGUAACCUGCCCUUGACUCUGGGAUAACCUCCGGAAACGGAAGCUAAUACCGGAUAUGACGUACGGAGGCAUCUCCUGUGCGUGGAAAGAAUUUCGGUCAAGGAUGGACUCGCGGCCUAUCAGGUAGUUGGUGAGGUAACGGCUCACCAAGCCUACGACGGGUAGCCGGCCUGAGAGGGUGACCGGCCACACUGGGACUGAGACACGGCCCAGACUCCUACGGGAGGCAGCAGUGGGGAAUAUUGCACAAUGGGCGCAAGCCUGAUGCAGCAACGCCGCGUGAGGGACGACGGCCUUCGGGUUGUAAACCUCUUUUAGUAGGGAAGAAGCGAAAGUGACGGUACCUGCAGAAAAAGCACCGGCUAACUACGUGCCAGCAGCCGCGGUAAUACGUAGGGUGCAAGCGUUGUCCGGAAUUAUUGGGCGUAAAGAGCUCGUAGGCGGUUUGUCGCGUCUGCUGUGAAAACCCGAGGCUCAACCUCGGGCCUGCAGUGGGUACGGGCAGACUAGAGUGCGGUAGGGGAGAAUGGAAUUCCUGGUGUAGCGGUGGAAUGCGCAGAUAUCAGGAGGAACACCGAUGGCGAAGGCAGUUCUCUGGGCCGUAACUGACGCUGAGGAGCGAAAGCGUGGGGAGCGAACAGGAUUAGAUACCCUGGUAGUCCACGCCGUAAACGUUGGGCGCUAGAUGUGGGGACCAUUCCACGGUUUCCGUGUCGCAGCUAACGCAUUAAGCGCCCCGCCUGGGGAGUACGGCCGCAAGGCUAAAACUCAAAGGAAUUGACGGGGGCCCGCACAAGCGGCGGAGCAUGCGGAUUAAUUCGAUGCAACGCGAAGAACCUUACCAAGGCUUGACAUAUACGAGAACGGGCCAGAAAUGGUCAACUCUUUGGACACUCGUAAACAGGUGGUGCAUGGUUGUCGUCAGCUCGUGUCGUGAGAUGUUGGGUUAAGUCCCGCAACGAGCGCAACCCUCGUUCUAUGUUGCCAGCACGUAAUGGUGGGAACUCAUAGGAGACUGCCGGGGUCAACUCGGAGGAAAGGUGGGGGAUGACGUCAAAUCAUCAUGCCCCUUAUGGCUUGGGCUUCACGCAUGCUACAAUGGCCG